CACGUGGUGUCCUCCAAGGCGCUUCAGGUCCCAGGCAGGACAUCGCAAGUGCUGGAAGUCAAUUGUUGGCUGUGGGAAAGUUUUUGGCACGUUUGACCCCCGUUCAGUGGGAGAGAAGGCGAUACUAAUGCAACAUCUUGUGUCUUCCAGGAGCAGAAGCAAGGCAGUUCUGGGCUCCCCACUGAUGGGACUGGUUCUGCUGGUAAUCUGCCAAAGCCUGUAGUUAUCAGGCUUCAGAAGACAGUAGUUAGCAGAUGCGGGGAAUGGGAGAUGUCUGGAUUUCACAUGCCACUCCUUAGCCCAAGCGUCUGGUGCCACCGUUGUCCACCUGGUCCUGGUGCCUUCAGAAACCUGAGUCAAAGGAAAAUUCUGCUU
rnacentral:lncRNA from 1 species